rnacentral:rRNA from 1 species
UACGUAGGGUGCAAGCGUUAAUCGGAAUUACUGGGCGUAAAGCGUGCGCAGGCGGUUUUGUAAGUUUGUCGUGAAAGCCCCGGGCUCAACCUGGGAAUGGCGAUGAAGACUGCAAGGCUUGAAUCUGGCAGAGGGGGGUAGAAUUCCACGUGUAGCAGUGAAAUGCGUAGAGAUGUGGAGGAAUACCGAUGGCGAAGGCAGCCCCCUGGGUCAAGAUUGACGCUCAUGCACGAAAGCGUGGGGAGCAAACAGG